GGGCAGGACAUGUGAAGUAGGCCCACCGCUUACGCGAUGGACCUCUUCACUUCCCUUAUUCGCAGCCGGGGGCCGCUCAACGGGAUUCCUGCUCUGCGAGGC
rnacentral:ncRNA from 1 species